AUACGGAGGGUGCAAGCGUUAAUCGGAAUUACUGGGCGUAAAGCGCGCGUAGGCGGUUUGGUAAGUCGGAUGUGAAAGCCCCGGGCUCAACCUGGGAAUUGCAUUCGAUACUGCCAGACUAGAGUAUGGUAGAGGGAAGUGGAAUUCCGGGUGUAGCGGUGAAAUGCGUAGAUAUCCGGAGGAACACCAGUGGCGAAGGCGACUUCCUGGACCAAUACUGACGCUGAGGCGCGAAAGCGUGGGGAGCAAACAGGAUUAGAAACCCUAGUAGUCC
rnacentral:rRNA from 1 species